CCCCAUUUCACAGAUGGGCAAACUGAGAGUCUGGGCAGUGCCGUCAUUGUCUCAUGUCUCAAGGCUGUGAGGGAGAUUCUAGCUCAGGUUUGCCCAGCCUCUCCGCCUGUGCUCUUCACGUCCUUCUGCCCCAGAGCACAGAUGCAGAUGUGGGGGCAGCAGUUCACGAUGUCGGGAGAAAGCUGCCUUGGAUGGCGCCUGGUCAGGACCUUUCUGAGUCAGUCUCCGCAGACUCUACAUCACCAGCAGAUCAGCUUCGGCGGGAAUCCUGGGGCAGUAAACUGCAGUGAGCUCAACAUCAGGAAGUAAAGGCACAGCUACAGCUCCAGGGAUGUGGUCCUGAGUGACAGAGCAGAUGAAGCUUUAUCAGGAGCCCAGCAUCCCAAGUCAUCAGUCCACAAUCCAGUUCUCAUGGGCUGAAGACUUAAUUUUUCACUCAGCUUCAAGCAGCAAGGGACACUCACUGGUCCAGCGUCCUCUGCGUCCUGCUUCUCCUGCAUCAUGUGACCUCACAUGCCACAAACUGAAGCCCACAGCUCACAGGGGAUGGAGCAGGCAUGGUUUCAGCCUCUCUGACCCUAAAGUCACUGAUGCACCACUUCCCUCCCCAGGUGGGGAAGGAGGGACUGGACAUUGUGGGUCCAUUGGUCUAUGAGGACAAGGGGCCAGGGCUCCUGGAGAGAUAGCUAACUCUGGGGCUGGAGCAGGAAACACACAGGUGAGCGGGGAGCCCCUGGUGGUGUCAGAGAUGAAGGAAGUGCAAGAUACAUGCACACACACACAGGCCCAUGUACAUAAUCACAGGACAGCACAAAUGGUCCACUGGAAAGAGCUCCCAUGGCCAAACUGGCAGAAUCUGAACAAGGAACGUAAACUCGUAUUGUCUUGUAACUCAAAGUUUGAAAUAAACACCCAUGAAUUUAUACUGAUAUUGAAUAAAUAAAUGGUGAAGG
ensembl:lncRNA